rnacentral:rRNA from 1 species
UAACACGUGGACAAUCUGCCCUGGAGAGGAGGAUAAUCCCGGGAAACUGGGGGUAAUACUCCAUAUUUCGUGUUGACUGGAAUGUUACGCGAAAGAAAGAUCCGUCGCUUCAGGAUGAGUCUGCGGCCGAUUAGGUAGUUGUCGGGGUAACGUCCCAACAAGCCAGUGAUCGGUACGGGUUGUGGGAGCAAGAGCCCGGAGAUGGAUUCUGAGACACGAAUCCAGGCCCUACGGGGCGCAGCAGGCGCGAAAACUUUACAAUGCGGGCAACCGUGAUAAGGAAACCCCGAGUGCCAGCACAGGCUGGCUGUCCACCAGUGUAAAGAGCUGGUGAAGAAAGGGCCGGGCAAGACCGGUGCCAGCCGCCGCGGUAAUACCGGCGGCUCGAGUGGUGGCCGCUAUUACUGGGCUUAAAGGGUCCGUAGCUUGAUGUACAAGUCCCUUGAGAAAUCCGCCGGCUUAACUGGCGGGCGUUCAGGGGAAACUGUAUUUCUAGGGACUGGGAGAGGUGAGAUGUACUGCCGGGGUAGGAGUGAAAUCCUGUAAUCCCGGUGGGACGACCUAUGGCGAAGGCAUCUCACCAGAACGGGUCCGACAGUGAGGGACGAAAGCUGGGGGAGCAAACCGGAUUAGAUACCCGGGUAGUCCCAGCCGUAAACGAUGCGCGUUAGGUGUGUCAGUGACCACGCGUCACUGAGGUGCCGAAGGGAAACCGUGAAACGCGCCGCCUGGGGAGUACGGUCGCAAGGCUGAAACUUAA